UACGUAGGGGGCGAGCGUUGUCCGGAGUACUGGCGUAAGACGCACGCAGGCGGUCUGCUAAGUUUGGAGUGACAGUUGGUGGCUUAACUGCCAAAGUGCUUCGAAAACUGACAGACUUGAGGGCUUCAGAGGGACACGGAAUUCCAGGUGUAGCGGUGAAAUGCGUAGAUAUCUGGAGGAACACCGGUGGCGAAGGCGGCAUCCUGGACCGACACUGACGCUGAGGAGCGAAAGCCAGGGGAGCAAACGG
rnacentral:rRNA from 1 species